UGGAGUUUCGUCGCCGACGUGGUGCCGCGGAGCCGUUCAGGCACACGUUUUGUCGUCGUGGUGCUGUGAGGAGCUCGGGCGAGCGUGGUUUUCCGUCGUCCUCGACGUGGCACCGACCCUUGAGGAUCUAGCGAGAAUUUCACCGUCGACUGUUUGUAUUUUGGCUUGUUCUCGACGUAGAAGCGUCGGAUCGCGACGAGGCUUGGUUCGUUGGAUUCGGGACUUCGAGAGGAAUCCACGAAGCCCUCAUUUGCCAGAUUUGGUGAAGCUUGGCGUUAGCUCGUCCACCGGACUUGGAGGUCCCUAGUUGAUCCAGCAGAGGGUGUCCUGGUUCGAGGCUUCGUUCGCUGCCAGGGGAUAGCUUUCGAGGCGGGUUACAUCGGCUUUACUCCUAAGUUCUUAUUGGUCGACAUGUAUAGAUCUUGAUUUCGGUAAUUAAAGUUUAGCGCAAAAUUCAUGUAUUUCUUUAGAAUGUAAAAUCUGAAUUUUCGAGCAUAUUUUAUCAAGUAAAUAGAUUAUAAAUGUUGGGACUUGGAAAUUGAA